AAUCUUUCCUUUGCCAUUCGGAAUGAUUGAGCUAGGACAUUGUUCUCAUCUAGCAUGCUCUGAAGACCAGCCACAAUAGUAGGGUUAAUCAGUGUUUUUCCAUUGGUACUUCUCGAUGCGUCUAUCCUGUUUUGUACCUCAUUCUCUGUAUCAUAGAUGUAUAGCUGUGCCCAGCGUGGCUUGCUACCUUCUUCUAGCAGCAGAGUUCCAAUAUGAUGAUCGUUUUGGCCAUGCAUGCGGAAUACGUAUGGCCCAUGGCCUUUGUUUAUGUCUUUGUCUACAACCCCUCCUGUGGAUGUGAAUGAGAACAUUGAGUUGUAAGACCGGAUGUUUUCUCUGAAGUUUUUAGAAUCUUCUCCUUCACCAUUCAAAAGAUUGUCGAGAUAAUUCGGUGGAUUUUUGCGUGGAGGCAGUCUGAUUUUUCCUUGCUUGCAGCACAUUCCGAAAGCUGGUUUUUUUAGUUUUGACUUUGGGUCUUAGUCUUUCCUCGUACCAUAGGAGAGCAUCGCAGUGUUCACAUCUGUAUUUUGGCUUUCCGAAGUUCCAUAUAUUACUUUCAGCAUCGCCCCUCUUCUAUGUUUCGCCAGAUGCAUUGCUACUGUUAUCUUGAUUUGCAUCUUCAUUGCAUGUUCUUGAACGCUUUGGUUUUCUCUUUUCUUUAAGUAUUUCUUUUCUCAUCAGUCUUGCCAGUCGAUAUUUCAUCUUGGUCGUUUCCUCUAUAGUGCAUCCUCUUUUUUUUUGCCCCUUUUAAGGUUUAGUUGUUCUUUCCUCCUCUUUCUGUUUUGCGAUGCUUCUUCCUUUCGAUGGUUCUCCAUUAGUUUUUUUGCCUGUUUCAGAUGUAAAAUUAAGGCAACAUGAAAGAGAACAUGUUUCUUGUUAUAGACUUCAAUGUGUAGUAGCAGGCAUUAAAGAAAAUUAAAUUUUGAUGUAUUUUAAAUUUAUAUGUAGUAAUUUUAUUGUUUCGACUAACAUAAUUAUGCAUGAUAUGUAUAUGCACUGCACUAAAGGCAUGAAAGAGAAGAGGUCCGCAUGAUACUUGCCAGAGGAUGCAAUUGAAGAAUGCAGAAAGCUCUGUGGUGGACAUGGUUACUUGAACAGCAGUGGGCUUCCUGAAUUAUUUGCCGUCUAUGUUCCUGCAUGCACUUAUAAAGGAGACAAUGUUGUUCUGCUUUUGCAGGUUGCAAGGAUUCUAAUGAAGACUGUUUCUUAAUUGAUUUCAGAUGUAAAAUUAAGGCAACAUGAAAGAGAACAUGUAAAUAUUUUCUUGUUAUAGGCUUC